rnacentral:misc_RNA from 1 species
UUUUCUCUCCGUCGUCUCAAGGAAACAUGGAGGUUGUACGAUUGUCACGUGCGUUGCGCAUAGGUCGACUUUGGACGAAACAGGCAUGCUUAGCACCUCCGUCGUCAAGAUGUUUAAACCUGCACGAAUACCAAAGCAAACAGCUAAUGGCUGACAAUGGUAUUAAUGUCCAGAGGUUUAAAGUCGCCGACAAAGUGUCUGAAGCACAAGAGAUUGCUCGAACACUUGAUGUUGCAGAAUUUGUCAUCAAGGCACAAAUACUUGCUGGUGGCAGAGGAAAAGGGACGUUCAGCAGCGGCCUUCGGGGUGGAGUGAAGCUUACCAAGGACCCAGCCCAAGUGCCAGAGCUUGUGGAGAAGAUGCUUGGCUAUAAGUUGGUCACAAAGCAGACACCAAAAGAUGGCGUCCUGGUGAACAAGGUGAUGAUUGCUGAGGCUCUGGACAUAGCAAGGGAGACUUACCUGGCCAUCCUAAUGGACCGCUCGUACAACGGUCCUGUAGUGGUGGCCAGUCCAGCUGGUGGCGUGGACAUUGAAGAUGUUGCCGAGAAGACGCCACACCUGAUCUUUAAGGAGCCAGUCAGCAUCUUGGAGGGCAUCACUAGCACACAAGCACAGAACAUUGCCAAAAACCUCAACUUCAAGGGGCCACUAUUAGAUAAGGCAGCCGAACAGAUAGAGAGGUUGUACAACUUAUUUCUCAAAGUUGAUGCCACUCAGGUUGAAGUGAACCCAUUUGGAGAAACACCAGACGGAAGAGUUGUGUGCUUUGAUGCGAAGAUAAACUUCGAUGACAAUGCGGCCUUCAGACAGCAAGCUAUUUUUGCUCAGGAAGACACAUCUGAGAGUGAUCCUCGAGAGGUGCUCGCAACCAAGCACCACCUCAACUACAUUGGCAUGGAUGGAAAUAUUGCCUGCUUAGUCAAUGGUGCAGGCCUGGCCAUGGCCACCAUGGACAUUAUCCAGCUUUAUGGCGGUACACCAGCCAACUUCUUGGAUGUUGGUGGCUCAGUCAAAGAAGACCAAGUCACAGAAGCCUUCAAGAUAAUUACCGAUGAUCCAAAGGUCAAAGCUGUCCUUGUGAACAUCUUUGGAGGCAUUGUCAACUGUGCUACCAUUGCAAACGGAAUCACGAGUGCAUGCCGCUCAAUAAACCUCACUGUUCCUCUUGUGGUGAGGCUGGAAGGAACCAAUGUUGAAGAGGCAAGGAGCAUUUUGAGCUCCAGUGGAUUGCCCAUCACCACCGCUGCAGACUUGGAUGAUGCAGCGCAGAAAGCUGUAGCCAGCCUCAAAGGUUGAUUCACAGGUGCCUUCACUAGCCAAGGAGCCAAAUGCUUGGAGAAAGCAGUGCCACUCGGGCACAGAGAGUGCGCAAGAAGGCAAAGCUAGUUUAACAAACUUCUUUUCUGUAAACCUGCCGGCAAUUCUGCGCCGUAUGUACAGUUCAGUCCACAGUUAAAGGGAACACUCAAGUGAAAUCUGGACAUGGUGAACACGAAAGUGUUCCCUUAAACAGUGGACCCAUCUGUACAUAUGCGUAAAUAAAGUUUUGCUAUUAAUUUUGAACCCC